UACAGGGGGUGCAAACGUUGCUCGGAAUCAUUGGGCGUAAAGCGCACGUAGGCGGUUCGUUAUGUCGGAUGUGAAAGCCCUUGGCUUAACCGAGGAAGUGCAUCCGAAACUGGCGAGCUAGAGUACUAAAGAGGAUCGCGGAAUUCCCGGUGUAGAGGUGAAAUUCGUAGAUAUCGGGAGGAACACCAGUGGCGAAGGCGGCGACCUGGGCCAAUACUGACGCUGAGGUGCGAAAGCGUGGGGAGCAAACAGG
rnacentral:rRNA from 1 species